GUACACACCGCCCGUCAAGCCAUGGGAGCCGGGAGUGCCUGAAGGCCGUGACCGCAAGGAGCGGCCUAAGGUAAAACUGGUGACUGGGGCUAAGUCGUAACAAGGUACC
rnacentral:rRNA from 1 species